rnacentral:rRNA from 1 species
AGUAGGAUAGGCGAAGCGUGCUGUUGGAGUGCACGUCCAAGCAGUAAGGCUGAGUGUUAGGCAAAUCCGGCACUCAUAAGGCUGAGCUGUGAUGGGGAGAGGAAAUUGUUUCCUCGAGUCGUUGAUUUCACACUGCCGAGAAAAGCCUCUAGAUAGAUAACAGGUGCCCGUACCGCAAACCGACACAGGUAGUCAAGAUGAGAAUUCUAAGGUGAGCGAGCGAACUCUCGUUAAGGAACUCGG